rnacentral:lncRNA from 1 species
CAAAAAUAAGUAAUUAAAAAAAGUAUCACUUUACUGGACUUUGAAUUUUGUUGCAAAUUGUUAUGUGCCAUCAUAUUCAUACUAUCAAAUAGCCUAAGCAUCAAGUAUGUCCCCACCAAUACCAUUUAUUUUAUUGGUUGAUCAUACCAUUCUCAUUUCUCCCAUUAAUUCAAUAUGCACGUUCCUCCUUUUUUUGGUAGGUUAGCUUUUCGACUUUUGACCUAAUUUUUUAUUCAUUCAUGCUAAUUAAAUUAAUUUAAUGUUAUUGCCACUCAUUUAAUUAAUUUUAUAUUUAUAAUUUAUAUAAACAUUUUUUAAUUGAUAUUUUUUAUAUAAACAUUUUUUUAGAUAUAUUACUAGUUUUAUGGUUAAACAAUUCUUAAUUAUUAUUUUUAAAUGAUAAAAAUACAUUCAAUAAUUUGAUUAUUUUGUGAAAUUGAACUGAUUAUCAUAAAGAAUCUAUUAGCAUAGUUGGAUUAUUACUAACAAAAAUAGUAAGAUUAAAAAAAAACAAGUGGUGCAUGUAUUGAAUGGAAUAUAAUGAAUGGGAGUCAAAUUCUUGAUCGGAAAUUAGAUCCUUUUAAGCACCACGAAACAUUAAUGAUUAAUUGUUUUACAAUAGCUGAUGACUUGGCAUGAUAUCGUCCAUUGAUUACUGAUUCAAAGGAUUGGAGUAGGAGUAGGGGUAGGGGUGGGACUGGGACAGGGGGGGGGGGGUGAACACGAGGCUAUUAAUUGAAUCUAAUCUUUGGUUUAAUUGGCAUAUAUGAGACUGAAUCUCACUAGUCCUAAAAUACGACUCCAAUAUCGAAAGAUAUAGAAAAAAUUGAUGUGUGUAUAAAAAAUUUAAUUAUUAAUAAUAAUAUAUUCAGCUAUGAUUUUUUGAUCACAUGUGUUAGGUUAAGAUGACUCAAAAGAUAUUAUUGAAUUAAUAAUUUAAGGCCUUGUUUGAAUUAAUUUGAUUCGAUUUUAACUUAGGAUCAGUAAAUGGUAAAUUAAUAGGGUUAUUAAUCUUUGUAUCUUUGUCAAAGGCUAAUACUAUUAUUUUUCGCUCUUCAAAAAAAUAAAUCUCAUUGACAAUUUUUAUCCUAUUAAAAAAAAUGUGAUUCUUUAAGCCAAUUGAAAAAAAUUAAAGAAAAAAAAUUGUGGUAAACAAUCUGGGGAAAUUUUGAAUAAAGGAAAAAAAACAAUUGAAAUUUGGCUAAUCCUAAACCUUGGCGUGCUCUGGGAAGAACAAGAAACGAAGCAAAGAAGAAGAAAAUAGAAAUACGAAGCAAAUAAACGAAUUAAACGGUAUUUGGUGGCUUCCAAUUUUCUAUCAACUUGUAAAAAAAAUUCUUAUCAAAACGACGUUGUUUUGAUACACAGACAAAAAAAAGGAGUUGUGAGUCAUUGAAUCUACUUUUUAAUGUGUUGUCAACUCUAUAGCAAAACUCUCACAAGAUCCUCACAUAAAAAUUCUCAUAGAGGAUCGGAUCCCAGAAUUAGGCUUGUCCUAUGUAUAUUUUACGGACUCGAGCUGGCUAAUCCCAUUUUCUAUUUCAUUUUUGGAAUAUGGACAAUGACUCUCAAAUAACGAGCACGAUUCACAGUUGAAAUAAAUUUUUUUUAAAAAAACACGUAUUGCCAAAAACUACUUGUUUAUUAUCAGUAGAUUUGGGGUUUGAGGGUAGCCCAGCCCAGCCCAAUAUAUAUCUAAAAAUCCAACAUAUGUCUGGGCGCAACUAUAAUCUAAUUGCUGAUCAAUUACAUUAUAGCCCAUUUGUAUUGUAUGUUCUAAUUUACAAUGAGACUGGCACUGCAUGGAAUGAGCGAAUGGGCAGCAAAGCAUUUUCUUUAUUUCGAAGUUUUUGCGUUAUUAGUUUAUUAGGAGUUGAAGUUUAAUGGAAUCAAGGAACUUGAAGUCGUCUCAAACUUGCAUAUUUCAUGUGAUCAAGUUUGGUUUAUGUUCUAUAGUGGAUUACAAAUUAAAUGGAUACAAUUUAUUUAAAUCAUAUUUAAAAAAAAUGAGGAAUGCUUGAAGUCGUCUCAAACUUGCAUAUUUCAUGUGAUCAAGUUUUAUGAGAUUAUAGAAGAAGCACAAGUGUUGCAUAAUAAAUACAUGUAUAUUAAUUAAUUAAUAUGUCAUUUACCCUUUUAAUCUACGUGGUAUUACCAACGACAGGGUUGUUCUUAAGAUUUUUGUGGUACAAGACGAAAAAUAAAAAUAAUACCCUUUUCAAAAUAGUGUUCAUAUAAAAAGUAAAAAUAAUUACAUAUCAGAGUUGGUUUAGUUUAGGCUUCAACAUUAUAUAAGAGUUUGCCCAAUUGAGUCCUUAAAAUUUUUAUUUGAGUUUUGAAAUUUACUUUUAUAUACCUAUGUCAUUAUAUAUUUAUAUUUUUUAUUUUACACACGCACGCAUAUAUAUAUAUUUAUAAUUGGGGCUCCUGAUUGGGAGCCUAGGACUGUCGACCCUGCCCGUGCUUAGAGCAUCUUCAUCAGUAUUUCUUUCAUAACUUUUCUAAUUGUACACGCAUACAAUUUAUCUUUAAUUAAGUUAAUUAAAGAUUCCUUGAUGUUCAAUGAAAAUGACAAUCAUGGAAGCCAAUGAAAAUGACAAUCAUGAAAUAUAUAUAUACUUUCUUCCAAGUUGAUUAAUAUACAUUAAUUCUUCCAAGUUGCGUUAGUCAAGCUAUAGUGAUAGCACCGACGAGCAUGUGAUCGCAUACAAGGUAUCGGCUUCAAAUUAAGUCCUUAAAUAGUUAACUAUAUUAUUGAAACAAUCAGUUGUUGGACUAAACACAAAGUAGUCGAAAUGACAUUGGUGUUUUGCUCGUUUAAUUUGUUGCGUGUAAAAUUGCCUACUUUUAUGUGUCACCAAACUAGCUUGAGUUCCCUCAACUUAGUUUCAAAAGCAUCAAAUCAUAACAAAUUUUGGGUCGGGCUGGUAUAGUCAUUAGUCAUAGAUGAUGCAGAGCUGAGAAUUAGUCAGACAUUUCACUAAAAACUUGUGAUAAUGAUUUGCCUAAUAUGGAUUGAGAUCGAAAUUUCAGUUUUUACAUCCCUAUCCCUACCCCUAUCCCUAUGAAAUGAUUGAUUUGAUAUUUAAUUGAGCGUCUCAUAAACUUUGUAUUGUAUUUCUCCUAUUAAUUUCAUCAUGAUUAUUAUUGAGCUUGUGUAUAUUUAUUUAUCUAAAAUAAAUAAAGAAUAUACGAAAUUGUUUUCAAUAAAUAGCUAGAGAUGCCGACCAGUAGUUUAAGUAAUACUAAUAUGUAAAUGUUUGUAAUUAUUCAUAUGGAAUGAAAAGGCAAGAUGCAGGGUCUCCUCUCCUAAAUAAAGUAAAAAUGAGUUCCAAUAUAAUUUCAAGAGUGUUUUUUUUAAUUAAAAAAAUACCCCUUUCUCUUAAUUAAAUUGAGCAAGAUAUAUUUUUGAUAACCAAAUAACUAAUGCCUAGCUAUGAGCAUUGUAAGUCUUAGGGCAUUUGGAGGUUAUUAGUUUAAAUUAUAAAAAUAAAUCUAAAUGAACUAACUCUAUACUGAAUCAACGUCACUCACCUAUGUUUAGUUGAUUAGUUUUUGAGUUUUUUGACCCCAUAACUUCGGCAUAUAUAUAUAUAUAUAUAUGUUGAAUAUUGAAUCCUAUUUUUGGUCUUUGGUCAUUAAUUAUUGGUCAAUGGUCAAUGGUCCUCACUCCUUUAAUGGGUCAAGGGAACAUAUUAAUGGGUCAAGGGAACAUAUCACCAUUAUCUCAUUAAUAUUACUCCUUUGGUGAAAAUGAGUCCAACUCAUUUCCUUUUCUACUCUCAAGUCUUUGGCUAUAAAAGGAGGCCAAAUGGAAGAGGAAAGACACACCAAAAUUGAUAGAGUAUAUCUUAGAGAGAAGAAGAGCAAAGCUCUAGUUUGAGUGUCAAAGAGAGUUAGAGAGUGAGAAGCUCAGUUAGAGCAUUCAGAGAGUGAGGGUGUAGAGAGAAAUAAACAGUUAGUUUAUUUCUCAGUUGAGAGUUUGUAAUCUCCAUAUUAUUUUCAUAGUGAUUUUCUGAGAUCUCUUCCCGUGGUUUUUCCCAGUUGGGUUUCCACGUAAAAUUCUUGUGUUAUUAUUUUAUAUCUCAUACAGUAGUGUGUUUGUAUUUAUCUUAGUGUAUUUGUGUGAGCUUGAUUUCUCAACAAUUGGUAUCAAAGCUCUCGGUUCACACCAACGAUCAGUUUAAAGAGAAAUUAGGCAGGUCACAAAUACGAAGAUGGCAAGCACAAGUGCGAGGUAUGAAGUUGAACCAUUUGACGGUAAGUCAAAUUUCAGUAUUUGGCAGUGUACAGUCAAAGAUGUAUUGGCUCAACAAGGAUUGACAAAGGCACUAGAAGGGAAGAAACCAGCGACUAUGACGGAUGAAAAAUGGGUGGAACUUGAAGCUAAGGCCGUGGCAACAAUCAGAUUGAGUUUGGCGCCACAGAUCAAAUAUCAGGUUUUGACAGAAACCUCUUCGAAGGACUUGUGGGAGAAACUUGAGAAAGUUUACAAGUCAAAGUCUCUGUCAAAUCGGUUAUAUUUGAAGAAGGAAUUGUACCGGCUUCGGAUGGAAGAAGGGUCAGAUUUGGCCAAUCAUAUUAAUGAGUUUAAUAGAUUGGUGACCCAACUAACCAGUAUUGAUGUGAAGUUGGACGAAGAAGAUAAAGCCUUAUUGCUUCUUGUCUCUCUACCAGAUUCAUACUCAACUCUCCAGACUACACUCCUUGUAGGGAAGGAAAAGCUUGCAGUUGACGAUGUGAUGUCAGCAGUACUGGACCAGGAUAAGUUCAAGGGCACUACUUCCAGAGAUCAAGGAGACAGUCUUCUUACUUUUUCAAAUGGGCGUGGCAGGGGUCCUAAUCAAAAGAAGUAUUCCGGCAAGGAACGAGAAAGGUCUCAGUCGAGACCAGGCAAGAAGGAUAAAUCUCAGGUUGAAUGUUAUCAUUGCCACGAGAAGGGCCACUACAAAAAUCAGUGUCCAUUGUUGAAGAAGGAUAACAAGAAGAAAGGAAAGCAGAUUGAAAAAUCUGCUAAUGUUGCUGAGCAAGCAGAUGUGUGCAGCGACGGAGAGCUGUACACAGUGACAGAAAAUGAAGCUUCACAAGGUGAUCUCUUAUCUGUUAGAGACAGUGGCAGCCUUACAGAUUGGUACAUGGAUUCCGGUUGUUCUUUUCAUAUGUCCCCUCAUAGGGAUUGGUUUGAUACUUUUACAUCCUGCAAUGGUGGUACAGUUUUAUUGGGUAACAAUGCAGUCUGCAAAGUUACUGGGAUAGGCACCAUAAAAAUUAAAAUGUUUGACGGAGUUGUUAGAACAUUGGGUGAUGUAAGGUAUAUUCCAGAAUUGAAGAAGAGCUUGCUAUCGGUUGGAGUACUUGACUCUAUAGGUUGCAGUAUCUCAGUCAGAGAUGGUGUCAUGAAAAUUACCAAGGGCUCGAUGGUAAUUAUGAAGGGCCAGAAGAAGGGCACCCUCUACAAGUUGAUAGGGGACACAGUUGCUGGUGGAGCAGCAAAUUCUGUGCAGGAUAAUUCCAACAGUGAUAGCACAGAAUUAUGGCACAUGCGACUUGGUCAUUUGAGUGAAGGUGGAAUGAAAGAACUUCACAUAAGGCAGUUGCUGAAAGGUGUCAAAACGUGCAGUUUGGAAUUUUGCAAGUUUUGCGUGUACGGCAAACAACGGAGGGUCAGCUUCAAGGCAGGAGCACAUACCAGUAAGAAUGUACUUGAUUAUGUACAUUCAGAUGUGUGGGGCCCGAUCAAGCAUACGUCAAUGGGUGGAGCCCAUUAUUUUGUUAGCUUUAUAGAUGACUACUCCAGAAAGGUGUGGGUGUAUUUUAUGAAGCAGAAAUCCGAGGUUUUCAGAAUCUUCAAGCAGUGGAAAGCUAAAGUAGAGAACCAGACCGGAAAGAAGCUGAAGUAUUUCAGAUCAGAUAAUGGCACAGAAUACAAGGACAGGUCAUUCCUACAGUUCUGUCAGGAUGAAGGUAUCACCAGGCACUUCUCAGUCAAAAGAACUCCAGAGCAAAAUGGGGUUGCCGAGAGGAUGAACAGAACUCUAUUGGAACGUGCCAGAUGUAUGAGAUUGAAUGCAGGAUUGCCCAAGAGUUUCUGGGCUGAGGCAAUCAAUACAGCGUGUUAUCUGAUAAAUCGAUCUCCUUCAGCAGGAAUUGAUUACAAAAUCCCCGAAGAGGUAUGGAGUGGGAAACCAGUUGAUUUUUCUGUGAUGAAAAUCUUUGGUUGUCCAGCUUAUGCUCAUCUGCCAGUCGAAGAGCGACAGUCCAAGCUUGAUCCAAGGUCAAAAGAGUGUAUUUUCCUUGGAUAUGAAGAUGGUGUCAAGGGAUACAGGUUAUGGGAUCCAGUAUCCAAGAAGAAGGUUGUCAGCAGAGAUGUGGUGUUCAAUGAGAAACACAUGCUGAACAAGUCCGAGAAUGAAGAAUCUGCAGCAAGUGAGUUGCAAAAACACCCAGUUGAGGUGGAGCUUCCUGAAGAGAUUGAAGAUGAUCAACCUUCAGAUCCCCAAGAGAGGUCCUAUAAUCUUGUUAGAGAUCGGGAAAUGCGAGUCAGUAAACCAGUGCAGAGAUAUGGGUUUGAAGACAUGGUUGCCUUUGCCUUGAUUGCUGGUAGUGGAGAUCCAACUAGCUAUCAGGAUGCUAUUCAGUCCGAUGAUAAUGAUAAAUGGGCGAUAGCUAUGGCAGAAGAGAUGGAAUCUUUACAAAAGAACCAGACAUGGGAGUUAGUUCAACUUCCAAAAGGAUCGAAGGCUAUAGGAUGCAGGUGGGUGUUCAGGAAAAAGGAAGCUCAGUCUGAUAAAGAAGGUGAAAGAUUCAAGGCCAGAUUAGUGGCAAAGGGAUUCUCUCAGAGAGAGGGAAUCGACUACAAUGAGAUCUUCUCACCAGUUGUGAAACACACAUCGAUUCGGUUGAUCUUAUCUAUUGUAGCAUCACAGGAUAUGGAGUUAGAACAGCUUGAUGUGAAAACAGCUUUUCUCCACGGUGAUUUAGAAGAAAAGAUCUACAUGAAGCAGCCUGAGGGGUUUAUUGAACCAGGGAAAGAGGGUUUAGUUUGCAGUUUAAAGAAGUCCCUCUAUGGUUUGAAGCAGUCCCCAAGACAGUGGUAUAUGAAGUUUGAUAACUUCAUGAUGGCUCAUGGUUACUCUCGUUCGGAGUAUGAUCCAUGUGUGUAUUUCAGAUCCCUUGAUGAUGGCUCUCUAGUAUUGUUAACGUUAUAUGUCGAUGACAUGUUGAUAGCAGCAAAGAGGAAGUCAGAUAUUCUUCAGCUGAAGAAUUUGUUGAGCAGUGAAUUUGACAUGAAGGAUCUUGGGUCAGCUAAGAAGAUCCUAGGUAUGGAAAUUCACAGGGAUCGUCAAGCAGGAAAGUUGUGGCUAACUCAGAAAGGAUAUGUGCAGAAGGUCUUAGAGAGGUUUAACAUGAACAAUGCUAAACCAGUUAGCACUCCGUUGGCAGCACAUUUCAGGUUAUCUUCACAGUUGAGCCCACAAACAGAGGACGAGGUGGAGUAUAUGUCCAAAGUACCGUAUGCAAAUGCGGUGGGUUGUCUAAUGUACGCCAUGGUAUGUACAAGGCCAGAUAUCUCACAAGCAGUCAGCGUGGUUAGCAGGUAUAUGGCAAAUCCAGGAAAAGAGCAUUGGAAUGCAGUAAAAUGGAUUUUUCGUUAUCUAGCAGGUACAACCAAUUACGGUCUUAUGUUUGAUCGUGAUACCGCAAGAAGUGAGGUUACAGGGUUCGUUGAUUCGGAUUAUGCUGGAGACCUAGAUGCAAGGAGAUCUACGACAGGGUUUGUAUACACCUUUUGUGGAGGAUGUAUAUGUUGGAGGUCAGUGUUGCAGUCUACGGUAGCAUUAUCAACAACAGAGGCUGAGUAUAUGGCAUUGACAGAGGCAAGCAAGGAGGCUUUGUGGCUUAAGGGACUAGUUGAAGAACUAGGUUUCAAGCAAGGCAGUAUCCAGAUUCAGUGUGAUAGUCAAAGUGCUAUUCAUUUAGCAAAGAACCAAGUGUUCCAUGCCAGAACCAAACAUAUAGAUGUUCGGUAUCACAAGAUUCGUGAGUGGUUGAACAAUGGUGACAUUGCAGUUCACAAAGUUCACACAAAGGAGAAUGCCGCAGAUAUGCUCACAAAGUCAGUUACAGCAGAAAAGUUCAAGCACUGUUUGGACUUAAUUCACUUCGUCUAAUGUUGAGUUCGUAGUGGAGUAUCCAGGGAGAGGGAUACAUUCACAGACACAAAGAAGAUCACAGUAUUUGGAAAAUAUGAGCCAAGGUGGAGAUUGUUGAAUAUUGGAUCCUAUUUUUGGUCUUUGGUCUUUGGUCAUUAAUCAUUGGUCAAUGGUCAAUGGUCCUCACUCCUUUAAUGGGUCAAGGGAACAUAUUAAUGGGUCAAGGGAACAUAUCACCAUUAUCUCAUUAAUGUUACUCCUUUGGUGAAAAUGAGUCCAACUCAUUUCCUUUUCUACCCUCUAAAGUUUUUGGCUAUAAAAGGAGGCCAAAUGGAAGGAAAGACACACCAAAAUUGAUAGAGUAUAUCUUAGAGAGAAGAAGAGCAAAGCUCUAGUUUGAGUGUCAAAGAGAGUUAGAGAGUGAGAAGCUCAGUUAGAGCAUUCAGAGAGUGAGGGUGUAGAGAGAAAUAAACAGUUAGUUUAUUUCUCAGUUGAGAGUUUGUAAUCUCCAUAUUAUUUUCAUAGUGAUUUUCUGAGAUCUCUUCCCGUGGUUUUUCCCAGUUGGGUUUCCACGUAAAAUUCUUAUGUUAUUAUUUUAUAUCUCAUACAGUAGUGUGUUUGUAUAAAUCUUAGUAUAUUUGUGUGAGCUUGAUUUCUCAACAAUAUAUAUUCUUCAGGGGAAAUCAUUGUUAUGCCAAUACAAUGUUAAUUGUAUGUACAUACAUAUCAUACAAUCACUUGUAAAAAGCAUUUGGAGGAGAUGAUGUUACCAUUUCCAAAAUAAAAUUAUAUAUGCAUCCAUUAAUCUAGCUAGCUAUUAUGUUCAUCCUAGCAUAAUUAAUUGUCAAGACUUAUCUGAUUUAAUUUGUUGAGGUAUUUAUUAUGUGUAUAUGUAGUUCAAUAUAUAUAUAUAUAUACUCAAAUGUUAUAGUCCUUUAAUAAAAAAGAUAGAAAAAAAAUCAGUUACUAGCUAGCUAGGCCGUAUUUGGCGAAUCAUCUGUAUAAAUUCCUCUAUAGAAUGUUUCUUUAUGCAGGAAAUGUUGUUCUUCAUGCACAGGCUACAGCUACUUUUUUUUUCUUUUUCUUUUUAUAUUUCCCAAAUUGUAAUACCUAAGAUUAGAUGGUUCGCAUAUUUUUAGAACUGGCUAUAGGGCGACCCCGUACGUCUGUUAUCAUGUGUAGGAAAUCUUGUGUGUACUUGUGCGCUCAAAUGAAACGGAAAUAUAAUUAAUUAAUUGAUGCUUACAAUCAAUAUUGCAAUUUACCUUAUGUUGUUAGUUAGUACACUAAAUCUUUUCUUUUAAUUUUGUUCAAAAUCAUUCUGUGAUUUAUAUAUUUCAUUUAUUGUUGAGAUGAGGGUAAACUAACUUAAUUAUUAGCCAUUGAAUUUAUAAUUAAUAAAAACCUCUUGAUCCUAGUUAAAAUAAGAUCGAGUACUAUUUCCUUUAAAAAAUUUAAUUAGUAAAAGGAUGCUCCUUACUUUUUACAGACGACCAAAGGACCAUUAAUUAAUUAAUUAAUUAAUUAAUUAACCACACAAGUGUUAUGUCACAUUAAGGGACCACGUACAUUGGGGUUAAUGUCAGUUUAGAAAGACAAUUGGGAAACAAACAGAAAAUAUAACACUUAGACGUGUCUAGCUAUACCUGUAAUUAUAGGCCUGUAGACACGAGCGCAAUUGAAUUCAAGUUGCGCCUUGGACUCGUGAUAAUUAUCAUACACAAUACUAUCGCAGUCACGCACGUCCAGAGCUCAAUCAUCAUGUUUUUUAGUUGGUGCACCCUUUUACCUUUAAUUUGAUUCUUAUCCAUGGCCAUUCAGCCAUCUGGAUCAGAAGCUAGCUAGCUAGCUUAUCUUCAUAUACACUCAAAUUUGUAAGUACGUAGUAUGUUUUAAAGAAAAUUUAUAGAUAUACAUUGUUAAUUAAUUAGCUCAUUUCUUCAAUAUUUUAAAAUUGUAUAAUUAACUAACUAGUGCUCAUGAUAAUAUAAUACCAUAUGCAUGUUGAUCUUGAAUUCAAGCCUCGUUUUUUGCACAAUAUGUUUGUGCCCUUUAUAUAUGUUGUUAAUAUAUCAGCUACUGAGCUACACAUGAUACGUACUGACAUAAGAUUAUCCAUGCCAUUAAUUUGUAAUGUAACAUAAAGAGUAGCCCUACGGCCCCUAUCCUAUUACAUUUUAAUUUUGAUCUCUGCUUAGUUUCUCGAUCGAUUCGAACACUUAAUUUCCUCAUAGGAUGACCGUUCAGCUUAAACAUUACUACUAGUAAAAAUCAUUACAUUAAAUUCAAGCAAUUAACAGGUGCAUGAAAACUGAUAAGCUAAAGCCUAAGAGACAAGUCAAGCUGGCCAAACUCCUCAUGCACACUGUGAUCAGCCUUGUAACCCUUAACCCAAUGACCAUUAUCUUGAUCUUCUCUAGACUUAUAAUUCAUCUCUCUCCUAUCGUAGCUCAUCAUCAUCUCGCUACCACUGAACCUUCCGGCAUGCCCUUGAUGCUCCGUCCCUGGCUGCACACGUCGAACAUGGCUCGACCCACUCCAACCGGACCCCCCUGACCGCUGGUUCCACCCUGCAUGAUGAGGCCGAACUGCCGAACUCAGCUCCCUGCUUUUCUUGGCUAAGGUUCGUUCCAGCUUGUGCGCAUUUUGGUGACCCCCUAGAGCUUGUGAGCUGUAGAAUUUUCUCCUACAAAAAUUGCAAGAGAAAACUCGUGGCUCGUUCGGACUUAACGGAGAUGAAGAUGAAGACGAAGACGAGGGGUCGAGUAAGAGCUCUAGGUUGAGCUCAUUUUCACUUGGAAGAUUAAGAUUAAUAGACAUGUUUGGCUGGAAACUCAUGGCAAAUUAAGCUAAAGGAAAAGAAGAAGAAUUAAUUAAGAGCUAAUUUAUAAUAUAUGUUAAUGGUACAAUAUUAAUUUGGUGGUGUAUAAAUUUCAAUCAAAUAGUGAGGUAAAGUAAUGGAAAUAUUUUAGAGAGAAAAUGAGAGGAGUAUAGUAAUAGAGUGAAGAUGAGAAGAGAUAUAAAGGGGAAGGGUGGGUUUUUAUCAAGGAGGAUAUGAGGUGGUAAGGUAACUGUUCCCGCAACCACAAACACAAAAUAGGAAAUUAUCAAGUGAGCAAAAAAAAAAUGAGGGGGUUAUGUGUGUGUGUGAGAGAAAGAGAGGUGCAUAAAUCAGUGGGGAAUCAAAGGUUUUGUCGCCUCCAGUAAUGGCAGCAAUGGAGCCUCUUACGUUCAUGGAUUUUUUUUGAUUAAAUAUAAUUUUGGCAAGAUCAAACAUACUAGACAUUCUUUUUUCUUCUGUGUUUUUCUUUUGUCUUGUGAAUCUAUCAACUAAUUUGGAUCUCUCUAAUCAUGAGUCCAAUCACACAUUGCCCUUUAUCUACUACUCCAUCUCUCUCUAUCUCUCCGCCCUUUAUCAUCAACAGUUUGAGAUAUUGUAAUGAUUUUCUAAUUUAAGUACAAGAUGUGAUGAUCAAGAUAAACCAUCUUGACUAGACUAAACAUGUAACACAAAAUUAGACCAUUGCCCAGUUUUUACUCCAAUCAAUUAAUAUAGUAUAUAGUAGUUCAUUGGGUCAUUCAACUCACAUUAAAUUAAUAAUUUUUAUUAUAAAGAACGUACAUACAAUGAUUCUAUAUCCUACUUUACAUAUACAAUUAAUGUACCUAUAGUUAAUCUCGUUAUGAAUUAUACACUUAAUUAUUUUUUUCUUCAUUAUUGUUUAUAUAAUUUUUUAUUCUUGAAAAAAAUUAGUCAACUGAUAUAUACUCGCGUUCUAAGAAGGAACUAAAGGGUUUUACAUUCAUCCCCUUCUUAAUUGGAGUAAUUGAAUACUCCAUAUAAUUAUAUACUACUCCCUCCGUUCUUAAAAUAUUAUCGUUUUAGAAGAAAAAAUUUGUUCUAAAAAGUUUGUCGUUUACAACUUUCGAAGAGAAUAAAUUAUUUACUUUCCUAUAUUACCCAUACCUUCUCUCAUUGUCCCAAGAAAUUCUCUCCCUUGUAUUAAUAGUUUUCAAUUUCCCAUAAAGGGAUAGUGAUGUAAUUUCAAAUAAAUUUUACUUGGUAAAUGACACUUCUUUAAUUUAUGUACCAAAACUUUAAACGACAAGUUUUUAAGAACGAAGGGAGGGAGUAGGAUCUUCUAUUAUUUAUUUAUGGUGCAUGUCCAAAUUCGAAGUUCAAACAAUGUCUGUAAUAGACAUAAGCUGCCUCCCUACAGUAUCUCUGGUGCACAGAUCUUUUACCAUAAUUAAUUCAGUUAUGGCAUUGUAGUAGAAUUAUGUGCGGAGUAUUUGGACAUCAAACUAUCUUGAUAAUACGUAAGUAUUACGUAGUGUUAACGUCAGGAUCUUUCUCCACGUUUCAAUUACGUAAGACGUUCUGAUCCUGCACAGUAAACACAGUCAACACCGAAAGCUUGACGGCAGUUCCGUCGGGGGAUAGCUCAGACGUGAGAAUUAGUAUGUGUUCACAAAGUUAACGAUGGAGGAAUGUAUUGUCUAGUGUUUUGAGAGAGAUAAUAAUUCUCAGUUGUGUGUGUAUGGGAGAAUCUGAAAAAAAAUCAAUAUAUGUGAGAACAUACCUCUAUACGAUGGCAUCCUUGCUAGGUUAUACUAUCUUAGCCUGGAUUACUGUGCCACCCACUACUACCUGACACCCCUUCUGACCUGAUGGACUCUGCCGACUGUAUAAGGUUUAUCUACUGCUUUUGGCCACUGUUUUCUACCGCCGGCCGGCUAUGAUCCCAUCCACAUUAAUGCAUGGAAGGAGCUUUGGUCAACCGUCAUGCUUUUUCAUCAUCACAAGUCAAAGUAACAGAUAUUAAAAUAUCUAAUGGGUCGAUCCACUGGACCGACCCGGUUUUAAAGAUUAAAACGGAUACAAUAUGGUGACUAGGCCUAGUGGCUUUAACGGAUUAAAAAUAAAGGUCCAAUGGAUUCUUUAUGUGAGUAGGCCCAAUGUACCCGUCCCAAAAAUAGGAAAUAUCACGACCCAACAUUGCCCCCUAGUUUUUUUGUUAAACAGAAUGUUUAAUAGAAAACUAUGAAUGGCCCAAGAUAAUUUAAUAAAGGUCCAUAGUGAGAGAUAAUUGAAGUGUACCCAAUCGCUGUUCACGAAAUGAAAGAAGAAGAGAAUGGAGGCCCAAAUCAGAAAAACCCUAUUUAAUAGAUACAUGGACCCGGAACCGAACCCUUCCCAUUCAAAUUCCAAAUCAUUAAUAACAUUUAAUGAGCCGGCCUUGAACACCGUGUAACCGUCAGUAUAAAAGGUAACUUUAUCAACUUUGACAGUUUUACCUGCUCAUUUGAAUUUCGAGCGCCUUCUGAACUCUCUGACUUUCUGAACUUUCUCCUUUCUUCUGCAACUAAUCAACAAUGGCUUCCCAGGAUUCUGCACAAG